GCCGAAUAGUUGCUAUUAAAAUGUCUUUGCUACAAAAAUUACAAUAUUUGUACAGAACCCUUCAAAUCCCACUACCGGGGAACUACAUCAAAACCCUAUCAAGAAUGCUGCUAGUAUUCACAUGGCAGAAUAAGAAACCAAGAGUAGCAGCGAAACUGUUACAGAGGCCAUUACCACAGGGAGGACUGGGCCUCCCGGACUUGUCAGCGUAUCAUAGAG